rnacentral:tRNA from 1 species
ACAUUGGUGGUUCAGAGGUAGGAUUCUUGCCUCCCGUACAGGAGAGCCAGGUUCAACUCCUGGCCAAUGCA